rnacentral:rRNA from 1 species
AAAAGAAAUCAACCGAGAUUCCCCCAGUAGCGGCGAGCGAACGGGGAGCAGCCCAGAGCCUGAAUCAGUGUGUGUGUUAGUGGAAGCGUCUGGAAAGGCGCGCGAUACAGGGUGACAGCCCCGUACACAAAAAUGCACAUGCUGUGAGCUCGAUGAGUAGGGCGGGACACGUGGUAUCCUGUCUGAAUAUGGGGGGACCAUCCUCCAAGGCUAAAUACUCCUGACUGACCGAUAGUGAACCAGUACCGUGAGGGAAAGGCGAAAAGAACCCCGGCGAGGGGAGUGAAAAAGAACCUGAAACCGUGUACGUACAAGCAGUGGGAGCACGCUUAGGCGUGUGACUGCGUACCUUUUGUAUAAUGGGUCAGCGACUUAUAUUCUGUAGCAAGGUUAACCGAAUAGGGGAGCCGAAGGGAAACCGAGUCUUAACUGGGCGUUAAGUUGCAGGGUAUAGACCCGAAACCCGGUGAUCUAGCCAUGGGCAGGUUGAAGGUUGGGUAACACUAACUGGAGGACCGAACCGACUAAUGUUGAAAAAUUAGCGGAUGACUUGUGGCUGGGGGUGAAAGGCCAAUCAAACCGGGAGAUAGCUGGUUCUCCCCGAAAGCUAUUUAGGUAGCGCCUCGUGAAUUCAUCUCCGGGGGUAGAGCACUGUUUCGGCAAGGGGGUCAUCCCGACUUACCAACCCGAUGCAAACUGCGAAUACCGGAGAAUGUUAUCACGGGAGACACACGGCGGGUGCUAACGUCCGUCGUGAAGAGGGAAACAACCCAGACCGCCAGCUAAGGUCCCAAAGUCAUGGUUAAGUGGGAAACGAUGUGGGAAGGCCCAGACAGCCAGGAUGUUGGCUUAGAAGCAGCCAUCAUUUAAAGAAAGCGUAAUAGCUCACUGGUCGAGUCGGCCUGCGCGGAAGAUGUAACGGGGCUAAACCAUGCACCGAAGCUGCGGCAGCGACGCUUAUGCGUUGUUGGGUAGGGGAGCGUUCUGUAAGCCUGUGAAGGUGUGCUGUGAGGCAUGCUGGAGGUAUCAGAAGUGCGAAUGCUGACAUAAGUAACGAUAAAGCGGGUGAAAAGCCCGCUCGCCGGAAGACCAAGGGUUCCUGUCCAACGUUAAUCGGGGCAGGGUGAGUCGACCCCUAAGGCGAGGCCGAAAGGCGUAGUCGAUGGGAAACAGGUUAAUAUUCCUGUACUUGGUGUUACUGCGAAGGGGGGACGGAGAAGGCUAUGUUGGCCGGGCGACGGUUGUCCCGGUUUAAGCGUGUAGGCUGGUUUUCCAGGCAAAUCCGGAAAAUCAAGGCUGAGGCGUGAUGACGAGGCACUACG